GUCUAUGAGGGCGAUGGUGUUCGCCGAUAAAUAUUUAUUUUGAGGAAUAAAUUGAUGACGCCUACCAAACA
rnacentral:ncRNA from 2 species